UGGGGAAUAUUGCACAAUGGGCGCAAGCCUGAUGCAGCCAUGCCGCGUGUGUGAAGAAGGCCUUCGGGUUGUAAAGUACUUUCAGUCGGGAGGAAGGUGUCAAGGUUAAUAACCUUGGCAAUUGACGUUACCGACAGAAGAAGCACCGGCUAACUCCGUGCCAGCAGCCGCGGUAAUACGGAGGGUGCAAGCGUUAAUCGGAAUUACUGGGCGUAAAGCGCACGCAGGCGGUCUGUCAAGUCGGAUGUGAAAUCCCCGGGCUCAACCUGGGAACUGCAUUCGAAACUGGCAGGCUAGAGUCUUGUAGAGGGGGGUAGAAUUCCAGGUGUAGCGGUGAAAUGCGUAGAGAUCUGGAGGAAUACCGGUGGCGAAGGCGGCCCCCUGGACAAAGACUGACGCUCAGGUGCGAAAGCGUGGGGAGCAAACAGG
rnacentral:rRNA from 1 species